rnacentral:tRNA from 1 species
GGGGUUGUGGCUCCGUGGGAGAGUGCUUGUCUGGCACAUAUGAAGCACUGGGUUCAAUCCUCAGCACCACA